UAACACUCAAAAAUAAAAAUGGCUGCAAACAGAUGCGCAAUUAUACAACAGUACAUCUUUGAAAAGCAUAAGUAGAAUCUCCUUCACAAUCAACAAGAAUCCUCCAAGUGGUUUCUGAACAAAAGCUGGUCAAAUGUGCUGGAGAUCCACAAGGGUUGCUAGGUAACGGAGCUGUGUUCGGCUGGGGUUGCUAGGUAUCUGAACAGCCAGGAACUUUUUGAAAUGGUUCAUCUUCCAGACACCAAAAAACAUCAACUUAUUGCCAACUGUUUUUUUUAAGCACAUAAAUUGAAGACAAAAACAUGCAAAACAUUUGCAUGAUGGGUUCCAUUUAAAAAAUUUUGGUGUCCAUUUGAUCAGCUUUAGUUCAACGUCUAAAAUACUUUGACUCGACUAGAUCAUUCCAUAGAUUCUUCAAAACUAAUAGAUUUAUGAAACCUUCAUUUCCAUUGGAAACAUAAAAUAUGUCUAAUAAUAAAUGUAAUUUGAAGAUCUGGACCAAAUAUUGUGCAUCCCUUCAUUUUGUGGUCCAUUUGUUUUCUUCCACCCAGGCUGAUCAGAGUUUCUAAUUACCGUUUUAUUUUAUUGCGGCUGUCAUGGGAAGUAUUGUGGUUCAAUCAGUCCAUUUUAAAAGCCACUCAGGUUUUAAAAAGCCUCUUUAACGAGUUCCUCAAAGAAAAGAUGCAGUUAAGGAUUUGUAAUUCCCCUCAUGCUGCCAGAAACCACAAACGUUAUGUAAACAACCCGAGUUAUCCUGAAAGUUUCAUUUUAUCGGGCUGUAGGUGUGGUGGCUCACACCGACUGCAGACUGAAACUCUUCCGUACUUAGUGCUAUAAUUAAAACUUUAUUCAGUCAUUUGUGAUUUAGCUUCAGAAUAAAUAAGUGACGUCUGGAUGAGGGAAAGUGUCACCAAGCUGAGACUGAAUUCAUCCCAGAUUUCUCAGA